rnacentral:lncRNA from 1 species
GGAGAGGUCUGCCGCGUUCAGGACGCUGUGCCGAAGCACGGUUGCAGACAGUGCUCCAUGUGGGUGCAUAGAAAGAUCAACUCUUUAAUCUGGCCCAGAUCUGCAUGAGCACUUAUAUGGUAGGAUUGAGAAGAAGGAACAAGAAGAUGAAUGAGGCAGGACUGCAUCUUUAAUGCACUAAUUUCUGUGUGUUACCUUAUCGCUAACUGCAGUGAAAUGAAAUGCAUCUUAAGGAUGACUACUACUGGGCUAAC